GAUGAACGCUGGCGGCGUGCCUAAUACAUGCAAGUCGAGCGAACGGACGAGAAGCUUGCUUCUCUGAUGUUAGCGGCGGACGGGUGAGUAACACGUGGAUAACCUACCUAUAAUACUGGGAUAACUUCGGGAAACCGGAGCUAAUACCGGAUAAUAUUUUGAACCGCAUGGUUCAAAAGUUAUAGACGGUUUUGCUGUUACUUAUAGAUGGUUCCGCGUUGGAUUAUCUACUUGGUAAGGUAACGGCUUACCAAGGCAACGAUGCGUAGCCGACCUGAGAGGGUGAUCCGCCACACUGGAACUGAGACACGGUCCAGACUCCUACGGGAGGCAGCAGUGGGGAAUAUUGCACAAUGGGCGCAAGCCUGACGGAGCAACGCCGCGUGAGUGAUGAAGGUCUUCGGAUCGUAAAACUCUGUUAUUAGGGAAGAACAUAUGUGUAAGUAACUGUGCACAUCUUGACGGUACCUAAUCAGAAAGCCACGGCUAACUACGUG
rnacentral:rRNA from 1 species